CAGCCCUAAACGAUGCGCGUUAGGUGUAUCGGUGACCACGAGUCACCGAGGUGCCGAAGGGAAACCGUGAAACGUGCCGCCUGGGAAGUACGGUCGCAAGGCUGAAACUUAAGGAAUUGGCCGGGGGAGCACCACAACGGGUGGAGCCUGCGGUUUAAUUGGACUCAACGCCGGGAAGCUCACCGGAUAAGACAGCGGAAUGAUUGCCGGGCUGAAGACCCUGCAUGACCAGCUGAGAGGAGGUGCAUGGCGUAGUCGUGU
rnacentral:rRNA from 1 species